GGUUGCAGGCAGCACUUUGCAGUCUAAACCUCACACAGAUCUUGUUUUUCCAAACUUCUUAACAUUUAUGAGGAAUGGAUUCAGCUGCCCAAAGCAAGGAGUAUGUGGGAAUGAAUUAGGCAAAGCUUUCUAGUGCACAAGCGUGCAUGCUUUAUGUGUAGAGGCCUUCAGCUGGAAGAAGUCAUUUUUGUUUGUUUCUAUACUUAGAACCUCUCCUACUGCACCAGUUAAGAAGUGCUCCUGUCAGAGCAGUGUCAUGUUAGUGGCUGCAGUGUGGCAUGGGAGUGUGCCUUCAGCUCCAGUUCCAAUUCCUUAGCAGCACUAAUUGCAAACACAGUCUGUGUCAGUCCGCACAUCCGCAAAAAAAAAAAGAAAUUGAGUUACGUUUUGCAAUAAUUCUAAUGGAAAUGCUAAUAGGAUGAACAGCAAUAUAAGGCCAGUGGAUGACCCAGCAAUUUCAUCUGUGCUGGCAAUGGACAACCAUCUAAACCACGUUCGGGUAAUUCUUCCUCUCAUUAGCAGCACAAUAACUCAUACACACAAAUCCAUAGGCAUUUGCUAUAAUUUUUUAACAUGGCUGGAAAUAGAAGUAAGCACAUGCAGUAUGCAAGCAUUACAGCAUGUGUUGGCUGUAAAUCUGUCUGGAAGUGGCCUGAUUCUGUUCCUGGUUAAAGCAGUGGGAAUUUUGCCAUUGACUUCAAUGGAAGCAGGAUGGGAUUUUUUGGACUUAUUUUAAAGUGGAGCUUUGUUUCUUUGGAACAAAGUUUUCAGAUUCACAGCUACAUUUCAGUACUUGGCUUGAACUCAUGUUAAUUCACCUUUCAUGUGUUUAACAGAUGGGGCUUCGUUGCUGCUCACCUUCUGUUUGGCAUCAGCACUGUAACCAGUCUCCGCUGGGUGACAGCCACCUGUGGCUGUGCUGUGGGACUCAGCAGGGAGAAGGAGGGAGCUCACAUGGACAUCUCUGGGCACCUUUGGUUCAAAUGUGUUAGAGCACUUGGAAGAAAAAGCCACUGCUUUCAUGUUUUUCAGCAGGUGAAAAGUCAAACUGUUUCUUAGAGCACCUAGGAUUGAGGAAGUGCAUAGAUGUGAGGUCUGACUUGAGAUGUGCGCUUAUGUCAAAGGGAGGAUUAUGAAGACAAUCUUCAGCCUGAUACAUCCAGCAGAGCUGUCUUCAGCAAGAUCCUACUGCCACUAAGAACUUUUUAGGAAGAUUGUAAACUGUUUGAGGCAAGAACUGUCUCUGAGUCUGUGUUUGGACAGAAGAGAGGUCCCGGUCCUUGCACAGCCAGGUACCAUAAUAAAUAUAAGGCACAAUAAUUUAUUUUAAACUGAACAUCAAAGAAAAGAAAAGAUUAAAAGGGAAAGAAAACCUUUCACAGCUCGAGGCUUUCCCCCAUGACAAUGCUCCAGAAGAAUGUGCUAUCUGCUGGAGGGAGCUAAC